UACGAAGGGAGCUAGCGUUGUUCGGAAUCACUGGGCGUAAAGCGCACGUAGGCGGAUGUGUCAGUCAGGGGUGAAAUCCCGGAGCUCAACUUCGGAACUGCCCUUGAUACAGCACGUCUUGAGUCCGAGAGAGGUGGAUGGAAUUCCUAGUGUAGAGGUGAAAUUCGUAGAUAUUAGGAAGAACACCGGUGGCGAAGGCGGAUCUCUGGGCCUUACCUGACGCUCAGGUGCGAAAGCUAGGGGAGCGAACAGG
rnacentral:rRNA from 1 species